UUUAUAUUGAACAGGUUUCAGUUUAGAUGAAGUGGAGAUUUUGGAGUAGAAAUUGGAGUCACAAGGAUGAACUUAGAAUUUGCAGUCACUUGCUUAGAUAAUCUACCUGGAAGUCAGGCGCCAUCUGAUGUUAUCAAUCUUGCUUUUGUUCAUGUAUGCUCUUUCGCAGCUUCCUUGCCUUAUUAUACUGAUAUAAAGGAAGAUUGUUCAAUUCAUGUUAGGCCUCCAGGCUUCAUCAUCUAUGUCCAGUUUUAGUUUGACUUUAUAUAUGCGGAUUUGCAGAUAUGUCUUGCUAUUAGUAACAACCUUGUUGAUUCCUUGCCUGAUUUUAGAUUUACCC
rnacentral:lncRNA from 7 species